rnacentral:tRNA from 1 species
GGGCCCAUGGCGCAGUGGUUAGCGCAGACGACUCAUAAUCGUUUGGUCGGAGGUUCGAAUCCUCCUGGGCCCA